UACGUAGGGGGCAAGCGUUGUCCGGAAUCAUUGGGCGUAAAGAGCGUGUAGGCGGUUCGAUAAGUCUGCUGUGAAAGUCCAGGGCUCAACCCUGGGAUGCCGGUGGAUACUGUCGGGCUAGAGUACGGAAGAGGCGAGUGGAAUUCCCGGUGUAGCGGUGAAAUGCGCAGAUAUCGGGAGGAACACCUAUAGCGAAGGCAGCUCGCUGGGACGGUACUGACGCUGAGGCGCGAAAGCGUGGGGAGCGAACAGG
rnacentral:rRNA from 1 species